rnacentral:misc_RNA from 1 species
AAGUCGUAACAAGGUUUCCGUAGGUGAACCUGCGGAAGGAUCAUUAUCACGUAUCCACGUAUCAACCAUUGUGAACUGUGCUUACCGUUAAAAAAUUUUGGAAAGAGUGUGAUAAUAAACGUUUCUUUCUUCACGAAGGAAGAGGUAAAAGUGAUUUGAUUUACCUUAGUUUAUUAUUUACCAACAAUUUUAACGAAUUGUCUUUCUAAUUUUUAACGAGUAUUUUCAAAUCAAUUUCAUUAACAAUUUAAACCCAAUUUUAAUAAAUUGUGAACUGAAAUAAUUUCUUACUCGUUUUUUACGAAAUGAGAAGAAAUAAUCAUUACGAAACAUAAGAACAACUCUUAGCAACGGAUAUCUUGGUUCUC